rnacentral:rRNA from 1 species
GAGAGAGUCAUUGAGCACCGCUUAAGAAGAAUGACAAGCGUGACCAGAAAUCAGUUUGGUUUCAUGCCUGGGAGGUCGACCAUGGAAGCCAUUUUCUUGGUACGACAACUUAUGGAGAGAUAUAGGGAGCAAAAGAAGGACUUGCAUAUGGUGUUCAUUGACUUGGAGAAGGCCUAUGAUAAGAUACCGCGGAAUGUCAUGUGGUGGGCCUUGGAGAAACACAAAGUUCCAGCAAAGUACAUUACCCUCAUCAAGGACAUGUACGAUAAUGUUGUGACAAGUGUUCGAACAAGUGAUGUCGACACCGAUGACUUCCCGAUUAAGAUAGGGCUGCAUCAGGGGUCAGCUUUGAGCCCUUAUCUUUUUGCAUUGGUGAUGGAUGAGGUCACAAGGGAUAUACAAGGAGAUAUCCCAUGGUGUAUGCUCUUUGCGGAUGAUGUGGUGCUAGUUGACGAUAGUCGGACAGGGGUAAAUAGGAAGUUAGAGUUAUGGAGACAAACCUUGGAAUCGAAAGGGUUUAGGCUUAGUAGAACUAAAACCGAGUACAUGAUGUGCGGUUUCAGUACUACUAGGUGUGAGGAGGAGGAGGUUAGCCUUGAUGGCCAGGUGGUACCUCGGAAGGACACCUUUCGGUAUUUAGGGUCAAUGUUGCAGGAGGAUGGGGGUAUUGAUGAAGAUGUGAACCAUCGA